rnacentral:hammerhead_ribozyme from 1 species
AUCCAGCUGACGAGUCCUAAAUAAGACGAAACGCGCAUCGUAGAC